rnacentral:rRNA from 1 species
GAUGAACGCUGGCGGCGUGCCUAACACAUGCAAGUCGAACGGGACGGUGUGCGAAAUUUUCGGAUGGAGCGCACGGUUUAGUGGCGGACGGGUGAGUAACGCGUGGGCAACCUGCCCUGUACCGGGGGAUAACACUUAGAAAUAGGUGCUAAUACCGCAUAUGCACACGGCCCCGCAUGGGGGAGUGUGGAAAACUCCGGUGGUACAGGAUGGGCCCGCGUCUGAUUAGCCAGUUGGCAGGGUAACGGCCUACCAAAGCGACGAUCAGUAGCCGGCCUGAGAGGGCGGACGGCCACAUUGGGACUGAGACACGGCCCAG